GCACUCGCUGGUGUGUGGGGAAGCAGUGAGGACAGCGUCACCCUUUGGAUUCAGAGGGAGAGAAAAAAAUUGGCAAAGGGAUCUGAGAUCCGCAGGUUGUGACCAGCCUCUUCUCCAGGGCUUGAGGAAGGGUCUCUUUUCCCUGUGCUGAGAUUUAAGGCUCUCGUUGAAAAGUUCACAGUAAUGACAGAGCUUUGAUUUUUUUUCUUUCUUCUUCUUCUUUUUUUGCCUGGUAUCCCUAACUUAGAUUUUCCAAACCAUGUCCCUAACUUCACCACAGCCUACUGCAAAGUAAACUCUGGUUGCAAAGAGUGGUGAAGUCAGAAAAGAUUAAGUGACUUUAUGUAAUAAUCGAGGGUUGCUUUAGGGAGGCUGCCUCUUUAUGUAAUAAUUGAGAGUUGCUUUAGGGAGGCUGUGAUGUUGGAAUAGCAUCGUUCUUUUGUGGUAAACACCAAGACUUUUUGGACUUUUUUUUUUUUUUUUGGUUUUAAGGAGCGGAGAAUUUAAUAGGCAAGAAAGAAGGAAGAAGGCUGAAGGAAGAAGCUCCCCACUACAGAGACAGACGGAGGGGGCUCCCAAGACGAAAGAGGAGACCCCCAUUCUAGAUGUUCUUAACCCUUUGAGGGCAAAGCUCUCCGUUUAAUGCCUUGCACAUAUCAGGUUGCCAACAACAUGGUGUGGUUUAUCAAUUGUGAUAGGUUACUUAUUCGAGCCCCUGUUUACAAGAGUUUUAGGUAAUUAUACCUUAUUAAUUUUAAUGAACUCUUAGAGGGCGACCCCAGUCGUGGGUUCGGCAGGAUGAAACACUACCCAUUUACCAGUUUACAGACAUUUAGGUCGUUUCGAGUUAUGAAUAAUGCUGUGAACAUUCAUGUGCAAGUCUUUAUGUGGACGUAUGUUUUAAUUUGUCUUGGGUAGAUACCUAGGAAUGAAAGUGAUGGGUCGUAGGGUAGUUCUAUGUAUAACUUUUUGAGAAACGGAAACUUUUUCCAAAGUGGCUGCAUCAUUUUUCAUUCCCACCAGCCAUGUAUGAGGGUUUCCAGUUCUCUGACUUUUUUUUUUUUAAUAUUCUAGAAAUGCACUGUAAUUUGAGAUUGAUAUUUUUUUCUUAGCAUUUUGCUAGCAACAAGCUACCAUCUUGGAGAUCAUUAAUAAUUAGUCUUUAAUUAUUAGGAAUGGUUCCUGAGUAAAAUGAAAAUAUGUCAGUCUGCCAUAAAUGAAAUUCAUUAUUUUAGAAUUUCAAACUUUCUUCUUAAAUGAAGUGUGGUAGGAAUCCUAUUUUAACAACUGUAAGCUAAAGAAUUAGCUGUGAAUCUUGCCCAGUUUCAAUAAUAAAUCAGUGAAUUCCAAUGGUUGCACAAAAUUUAUCUUAUCAGGCCAAUAUAUUUACUAUUAAUUAAAUGUAUAUUGAGUAUGUAUAUUUAGCAUGUUAAGUGAGUUAGAUUCUUUUGACAUAUAUUCUAUACUGCUAAAAUAAAAUUGACUCAUAUAGGACAGAAUGGAAUUACAUUUUGUGAAGUUAUAAAAUCUGAGCUAUGAUUCAGAGUGUGGGAGGAAGUACUGACGUUAUGAAGCUCAUAAGUACCUAGUAGUACUAAGCUCCAGGUUCCAAAAGUGGCAUAUUGUCACUAUAGCAACCACCAUGCUUAUUUGGAUUUGAAACCCAGGCAACGAAUGGUGGAUAGGACUAUAAUAUUAAGAUUGCAUUUCUCUGGAAUGACCACAGCAAUAUUUCCAGCCCUUGAUGAUCUUCUAGAACUUUGCCACUUCCCUGCAUCAAGAGAAAAUCUUGGAAGAAGAACACUUCUUUGAUGACGUUGUCAGAGAGAAAUGGAUGUUCUCCUAAAUGGGAAGCCUUAAUUCUGUGUGUAAUUUAUAAAGCCAUGGAGAAGAGGAGACAGAGUGUGCAAGGGAAUGAAGAAAAGGAACAAGACUAUUUUCAAAUCACCCAUGGCACUACUAGAAAUGUAUUUCAGCAAAAGGACUGGCUGAUUUUAUGAUUCCUGUGUCCACCACAGCCCUCUAAUUUUUACAUAGGUACCCCACAUCUCUCUAGAUUUCAGGAAGACUAUUAUCCUUCGACUUUAGCUUUCUGAUGGGUUCACAAAAAGCCAUUAGUGUGCUGUUGGUCCAGCUUUUUUCUGUUGCAAAUAUGAGAGCUACAGUUCUGAGAUGAAACCACAGAAAUUGUUGCAAUGUGUUUAAAAAUGAGAUAGACGCCGGACACGGUUGCUCGGGCAGAUCACGACGUCAAGAGAUCAAGACCAUCCUGGCCAACAUGGUGAAACCCCGUCUCUACUAAAAACACAAAAAUUAGCUGGGAGUGGUGGCGCACGCCUGUAGUCCCAGCUACUCAGAAGGCUGAGGCAGGAGAAUCACUUGAACCUGGGAGGCGGAGGUUGCAGUGAGCCGAGAUUGCGCCACUGCACUCCAACCUGGCAACAGGGUAAGACUGUCUCAAAAAAAAAAAAAAAAAAAAAGAGAUAGUCAUUAAACUCUUUAAUGCAAAACGAACAAUUGUGAGAACUAUAGAGACUGUUUACAGACUCAAAGCUGUAACAGUUAAAUUAUUUGUUGUUAAAUCACCUGUAGUUAAUUACAAUAUGUUGAUGUGUACCUGAUCUAAAAGGAAGAUUAUUUUGGGUUGUCAGGUUAAACACAGACAUUGUCGAGCAAAGAUAAGACAGUCAAA
rnacentral:lncRNA from 1 species